rnacentral:rRNA from 1 species
GACGAACGCUGGCGGCGUGCUUAACACAUGCAAGUCGAACGGAAAGGCCCUGCUUUUGUGGGGUGCUCGAGUGGCGAACGGGUGAGUAACACGUGAGUAACCUGCCCUUGACUUUGGGAUAACUUCAGGAAACUGGGGCUAAUACCGGAUAGGAGCUCCUGCUGCAUGGUGGGGGUUGGAAAGUUUCGGCGGUUGGGGAUGGACUCGCGGCUUAUCAGCUUGUUGGUGGGGUAGUGGCUUACCAAGGCUUUGACGGGUAGCCGGCCUGAGAGGGUGACCGGCCACAUUGGGACUGAGAUACGGCCCAGACUCCUACGGGAGGCAGCAGUGGGGAAUAUUGCAGAAUGGGCGGAAGCCUGAUGCAGAAACGCCGCGUGCGGGAUGAAGGCCUUCGGGUUGUAAACCGCUUUCGCCUGUGACGAAGCGGGAGUGACGGUAAUGGGUAAAGAAGCACCGGCUAACUACGUG